ensembl:lncRNA
UCCCAAAGCUGACAUCAAACUGAGGAUCAAGUCCAAAAGUAUCAAGGUUACACACUGUUACACUCCCUGAGAACCACCACCAGAGCCCUGGGACAUGGAAAACAACACAUCUAUUUACUGUAUGUUGUUUGUUUACUCGUUAAUCUGUUUGUUAUUUUCAGACUCUUUUCCUCACCCCUGCCAGGCAGUGGGAUAUUUGGUGAUGCUAUCUGUGUGUGUGUCUGUUUGUUUGUUUACUUGUUUGUGUUUGCAUAAUGACCUUAGGGACCAACAUCACUGGGAAAAACCUUCAUGGUCUAUGAGGGCAUUGCUGGACAAAAGCAAGGACACUGCAAGUGAACAAGAGCCAUGCAGCCCUUCAGACAUAUUACAGUCAAAGACAAAGAAUUCAUGACCUCUGCAGUUCUGCUUGUCCUUGAGUCCUAUAAUGAAUAUUCAGCAGAUUAGAAGACAGACAUGAAAGUUAACAUUAGCCAUUUAUUUAAAAAUCCCAUAUUCAGAUAAUCCGCAUAUUUGUCAAAAUCAAACACAAGAGAAAUAUAAGAGGACAAAUUAUAUAAUGAGAGGAUGGGGAUACGUCUUGCGGACAGGGAAUUAGAUAAAGACACAUUUGGCUGAGUUUGAAGGAAGGAAAUGGCCUUGAAGAUGGUUACUGAAAUCCUGCUGGAUGGAUGGAGUUUGCCAUGAACCACGAUGGUGACGAAGGUGGAUGUUUUAACUUUAUUUGGUCUAGAGCAUGUGAGAAAAUAUGUUAAUUUGAGUGCCAUGUCUUUCAAUGUGCACACGCACACAAGUUAAAAUGUCUGAAUGAAAGCAGACUUCAUCUGUGUGUGUGUGUGUGUGUGUGUGUGUGUGUGUGUGUGUGUGUGAAGUGAGUUGUCUGGGUUUUCACUUAUCACCAAUGCCAGUACUAACAACCCCAACCCCCCAAAUCCGAAAUGCGGAAACAUGCAUUAUGUCCUCCCCACAACUACUUUCAUUUCUUCCUCUUCUCUCCCCGUCUCUGUACCCUCUCUCUCUCUCCCUUUUUUUCUCAUUUAUGACGAGUCAUUACCGUGAGCACUGGGAUGAAAGCUUAGGAUCUGGCCGAACCGCUCCCUCUGACUGACGCAUAUUCAUUUAAAAAUGAGCCUCUUAUUACCCGUCCAAACUUUUUACAGCCCCACAGUGCACAGUAGAAGACAGCUUUAUUCCCACAGAGCCCGAGUGUGGGCCAGAAAGCCUCGCAGCCUUUGAUGGUUAUAUAUGUGCACAGGCCGUCACCUUGGCAGCCGCUCUCAGAAAGCGCGCCAUGAUUUGUAAUGUUACCUUUACAGCUUUAAACUCCAUCGAACAACCUCAAGACCUUUUUAUUGGGCUAAUGUAAGGGUUCUGACAUAUCAUUAACAAAUAAAUUAAUAAACACGUAGACA